rnacentral:rRNA from 1 species
UCGGGAAUUUUGGGCAAUGGGCGAAAGCCUGACCCAGCAACGCCGCGUGAAGGAUGAAGUCCCUCGGGAUGUAAACUUCGUAAGAAUAGGAAGAAUAAAUGACGGUACUAUUUGUAAGGUCCGGCUAACUACGUGCCAGCAGCCGCGGUAAUACGUAGGGACCAAGCGUUGUUCGGAUUUACUGGGCGUAAAGGGCGCGUAGGCGGCGUGGUAAGUCACUUGUGAAAUCUCCGAGCUUAACUCGGAACGGUCAAGUGAUACUGCUGUGCUAGAGUACAGAAGGGGCAAUCGGAAUUCUUGGUGUAGCGGUGAAAUGCGUAGAUAUCAAGAGGAACACCUGAGGUGAAGACGGGUUGCUGGGCUGACACUGACGCUGAGGCGCGAAAGCCAGGGGAGCAAACGGGAUUAGAUACCCCUGUAGUCCCUGAGCGGGCUGGCAAGGCGCAU